rnacentral:rRNA from 1 species
CCUACGGGAGGCAGCAGUGGGGGAUAUUGCACAAUGGGGGAAACCCUGAUGCAGCGACGCCGCGUGGGUGAAGAAGUAUUUCGGUAUGUAAAGCCCUAUCAGCAGGGGAGUAAGAUGACGGUCCCUGACUAAGAAGCCCCUGCUAACUACGUGCCAGCAGCCGCGGUAAUACGUAGGGGGCGAGCGUUAUCCGGAUUCACUGGGUUUAAAGGGAGCGUAGACGGCCGUGCAAGCCAGUCGUGAAAGCCCGGGGCACAACCCCGGGAUUGCACUUGAAACUGUGCGGCUGGAGUGCGGGAGGGGCAGGCGGAAUUCCUGGUGUAGCGGUGAAAUGCGUAGAGAUCAGGAGGAACACCGGCGGCGAAGGCGGCCUGCUGGACCGCGACUGACGUUGAGGCUCGAAAGCGUGGGGAGCGAACAGGAUUAGAUACCCGAGUAGUC